CUGGGAGUAAUGAAGGACAAGAACAGCUAGAAAAGAGGAGACAGCAACUAGCCAACAGUCUUCAUGGGGAAUGUUCAGUCAAGUAUGGCCUUGGCUCCUCCCCCUCGCAGGACCCCUAUUAGUCCUCUUUAUGUUUCUCCUAAUAGGACCAUGUCUAAUAAAUUGCCUACAGAAGUUCCUGCAAGAUCAGAUACACAAAUUCACCAACCAGUCAAUCAACUACUUCUUUAAGACUACCAGCCCCUGAUGCCCAAGACGGAGACCUAUGACUCAUGACCAACUCCUCUAGCUCCAGAGACUCUGCCCCC
rnacentral:lncRNA from 1 species